GACGAACGCUGGCGGCGUGCUUAACACAUGCAAGUCGAACGAAGAGCGAUGGAAGCUUGCUUCUAUCAAUCUUAGUGGCGAACGGGUGAGUAACGCGUAAUCAACCUGCCCUUCAGAGGGGGACAACAGUUGGAAACGACUGCUAAUACCGCAUACGAUCUAAUCUCGGCAUCGAGGAUAGAUGAAAGGUGGCCUCUACAUGUAAGCUAUCACUGAAGGAGGGGAUUGCGUCUGCUUAGCUAGUUGGAGGGGUGACGGCCCACCAAGGCGAUGAUCAGUAGCCGGUCUGAGAGGAUGAACGGCCACAUUGGGACUGAGACACGGCCCAGACUCCUACGGGAGGCAGCAGUGGGGAAUCUUCCGCAAUGGACGAAAGUCUGACGGAGCAACGCCGCGUGAGUGAUGACGGCCUUCGGGUUGUAAAGCUCUGUUAAUCGGGACGAAAGGCCUUCUUGCGAAUAGUGAGAAGGAUUGACGGUACCGGAAUAGAAAGCCACGGCUAACUACGU
rnacentral:rRNA from 1 species